rnacentral:rRNA from 1 species
CCUACGGGUGGCUGCAGUGAGGAAUAUUGGUCAAUGGACGAGAGUCUGAACCAGCCAAGUAGCGUGAAGGAUGACGGCCCUAUGGGUUGUAAACUUCUUUUAUAAAGGAAUACAACGAUGCACGUGUGCCUUUUUGCAUGUACUUUAUGAAUAAGGAUCGGCUAACUCCGUGCCAGCAGCCGCGGUAAUACGGAGGAUGCGAGCGUUAUCCGGAUUUAUUGGGUUUAAAGGGAGCGUAGAUGGGUUGUUAAGGCAGUUGUGAAAGUUUUCGGCGCAACCGUAAAAGUGCAAUUGAUACCGGAAGUCGUGAGUACAGUUGAGGUAGGUGGAAUUCGUGGUGUAGCGGUGAAAUGCUGAGAUAUAACGAAGAACCCCGAUUGCGAAGGCAGCUUACUAAACUGUGACUGACAUUGAUGCGCGAAAGUGUGGGUAUCAAACAGGAUUAGAUACCCCUGUAGUC